GGAAGGAUCAUUCCAUCCACAAAACAAACCCAAACCGUUUGAGUUUGCCAGAGCGUUGGAAGUUUGAGCUUGGUGGUGCUUGCUUGAAUGACCAAUGCGCUGGUAUACUGCCUUUUGUUUGCAAAAGCAAUGGUUGGUAGCUAAACAAGGCAAGUUCUUCUUUGUACAUUGUAUCCAAAAACUCUUAGCGGUGGAUACCUCGGCUACCAUAACGAUGAAGAACGCAGCGAAACGCGAUAGUAAUUGCGAAUUGCAGAUUCAGUGAAUCAUCGUAACUUUGAACGCACUCUGCAGCUUGGGGAAGUCCUCAGGCUACGCCUCUUUGAGUAUCGUACCCAAACUCAAUAUUGUAACAAUUGAGAGUGGUUUACUACGACUCUUCAAAGUUUGAAUUCUGUACCAUAUGAUCGAGUACAAUUCUGUUGUUGGGUGUACUUUGCUUUUGUUGAUUGAUGUCAAGUUGAUGUGGCGAUCACUUACAGCGACAAUGAUUUAGGCAGAUCCCUUAGCAUUCAGAUUGCUUCACGAUUGGGAUUUUCGAGUGUACUAUAAGUGCACACUUUUUAUGGGAAGAUCUCAAAUGAGGCGAGAUAACCCCCUGAGCUUAAGCAUAUUCUUAAGGGGAGGAAAAGAAACUAACUAGGAUUCCCUUAGUAACGGCGAGUGAACUGGGAAGAGCUCAAACCUGAAUCUUGGUUGGUUUCCUUCCAAGAGUUGUGGGUUAGGGAGGCAUUCUCAGCGCAUGGCUUCGGUCUAAGUCUGCUGGAAAGCAGCGUCAGAGAGGGUGAGAACCCCGUCUUGGGCUGGAAGACCGGCGUGUACGAGGUGUCCUCUGAGAGUCGGGUUGUUUGGGAGUACAGCCUUAAAUGGGUGGUAAAUUCCAUCUAAAGCUAAAUACCUAUGGUAGACCGAUAGCAAACAAGUACCGUAAGGGAAAGGUGAAAAGGACUUUGAAAAGAGAGUCAAAAGUACUUGAAACUGCUAAGAGUAAAGGGAUAAGGACUGUUGGAUCGGGUCACUGCAUUAUUCUCUAAUUGCUCGCCCAUUGCGUUUGGAGUUGAUUCGAUUUUUUGAGUCGUCCUACGUGUAUGGUAAAGGCGAUUGGUGAAGGUAUGUAGUGCGAGCAGUGUCAGAAUGGGCUAGUUUUGUGAGAAAUUGUACAGUCGAAGAUCGGGUAUGAUCAAACCCAGUUUGUGAUUCUCGAAUGCUUCUGCAAGGUAUCUCAGAACUGGCCGAGGCGUAAGCGAUUCUGACCUUAGAUGGUCCUUAUCCACCCGUCUUGAAACACGGACCAAGGAGUCUAACGUGCACGCGAGUCUUUGGGUGUUAAAACCCCAGGGCGAAAUGAAAGUGAAGGGAUGUCUCGUGCAUCUUGAGGUGUGAAUCCUCGCAAGAGGAGGCAACAUCGCCCGGCCACUCCAUUAGUGUGUGGUUCGAGGUCGAGCGUGUACGCUAGGACCCGAAAGAUGGUGAACUAUGCCUGGGCAGGGUGAAGCCAGGGGAAACUCUGGUGGAAGCUCGUAGCGAUACUGACGUGCAAAUCGUUCGUCGGACCUGGGUAUAGGGGCGAAAGACUAAUCGAACCGUCUAGUAGCUGGUUCCCUC
rnacentral:misc_RNA from 1 species